GACGAACGCUGGCGGCGGGCCUAAUACAUGCAAGUAGAACGCAGUUGCGAACGGGUGAGUAACGAGUCGGUAACUGCCUGGGAGCGGGGGAUAACUAUUGGAAACGAUAGCUCAUACCGCAUCCUGCCAGAUGGACCUGCGUUGUAUUAGCUAGUUGGUGGGGUACCGGCUUACCAAGGCAACGAUACAUAGUCGAGCUGAGGGGGUGAUCGGCCACACUGGGAAUGAGAACCGGCCCAGACUCCUACGGGAGGCAGCAGUAGGGAAUCGUCGGCAAUGGGGGGAACCCUGACCGAGCAACGCCGCGUGAGUGAUGAAGGUUUUCGGAUUGUAAAGCUCUGUUAUUAGGUAAGCGGUACUUAAACAGAAAGGGACGGCUAACUACGUGCCAGCCGCCGCGGUAAUAC
rnacentral:rRNA from 1 species